CAGAUAUAUCUGAUGAGAUAGGAGUAUUGCAUUGGUCCAUUCCAUCAUGUGAACAUUGCAAAGGUCAUAAUCUUAUAAGGACAAAUCUGAAGAUAUUAGGUAUUUGCGCACUUUGUUUAGUUCUAAUAGCGACGGGGACGACAAUCUGCUAUGUCUACAACUCAAACAAAAAGGAAAAAGAAAAUCAGCUUAGAAUUGAAAGAUUUUUGGAUGAAUACAGAGCGAUGAAGCCAAGUAGAUACUCCUAUGUUGAUAUUAAGAGGAUAACAAGUCAAUUCAAGGAAAAGUUGGG